UACCGAGGGUUCGAAUCCCUCUUUUUC
rnacentral:tRNA from 1 species